UGGGGAAUUUUGGACAAUGGGGGCAACCCUGAUCCAGCAAUGCCGCGUGAGUCAAGAAGGCCUUCGGGUUGUAAAGCUCUUUUGUCAGGGAAGAAACGGUAGUAGCGAAUAACUACUACUAAUGACGGUACCUGAAGAAUAAGCACCGGCUAACUACGUGCCAGCAGCCGCGGUAAUACGUAGGGUGCAAGCGUUAAUCGGAAUUACUGGGCGUAAAGCGUGCGCAGGCGGUUGCGUAAGUCAGAUGUGAAAUCCCCGGGCUCAACCUGGGAAUUGCAUUUGAGACUGCACGGCUAGAGUGUGUCAGAGGGGGGUAGAAUUCCACGUGUAGCAGUGAAAUGCGUAGAUAUGUGGAGGAAUACCGAUGGCGAAGGCAGCCCCCUGGGAUAACACUGACGCUCAUGCACGAAAGCGUGGGGAGCAAACAGGAUUAGAUACCCAAGUAGUCCCUGAGCGGGCUGGCAAGGCGCAU
rnacentral:rRNA from 1 species